GUCUCUCAGCCAAUCAGCAGCAGUCCUCAUAUGAGCAGCAUGGCUGAUCUGGGAGCUGAAGCUGCAGCGACACAGAAGAUCCCUCCAUCCAGAAACGUCACAUUAACGCCUGCAACGAAGAUCAGUCCAGAACCCAGCAGCAUGAAAGUGAUUGGUAACCUGGGGAAGGUCAUGUCAGCAGUUCAGAGCAGAACUGCUACUGGUCAGACUGGGAGCAGCCCAGUAACCCAGAUUCUCCAGACAAAGGCCGCUCUGCUCCAG